CCCUUAGAUGUUCUGGGCUGCACGCGCGCUACACUGAAGCGUUCAACGAGUAUUCACCUUGCCCGGGAGGGUUGGGUAAUCUUUUGAAAACGCUUCGUGAUGGGGAUAGAUUAUUGCAAUUAUUAAUCUUCAACGAGGAAUUCCUAGUAAGCGCGAGUCAUCAGCUCGUGCUGAUUACGUCCCUGCCCUUUGUACACACCGCCCGUCGCUCCUACCGAUUGAAUGAUUUAGUGAGGACUUCGGACUGGGACCGAUGCGGCUUUCGGGCUGCGUCGGUAUUCUGGAAAGAUGUCCAAACUGUAUCAUUUAGAGGAAGUAAAAGUCGUANCA
rnacentral:rRNA from 1 species